rnacentral:rRNA from 1 species
GACGAACGCUGGCGGCGUGCUUAACACAUGCAAGUCGAACGGUAAGGCCCUUCGGGGUACACGAGUGGCGAACGGGUGAGUAACACGUGGGUGAUCUGCCCUGCACUUCGGGAUAAGCCUGGGAAACUGGGUCUAAUACCGGAUAGGACCACUGCCUGCAUGGGUGGUGGUGGAAAGCUUUUGUGGUGUGGGAUGGGCGCGCGGCUCAUCAGCUUGUUGGGGGGGUGAUGGCGUACCAAGGCGACGACGGGUAGCCGGCCUGAGAGGGUGACCGGCCACACUGGGACUGAGAUACGGCCCCGACUCCUACGGGAGGCAGCAGUGGGGAAUAUUGCACAAUGGGCGCAAGCCUGAUGCAGCGACGCCGCGUGAGGGAUGACGGCCUUCGGGUUGUAAACCUCUUUCAGCACCGACGAAGCGCAAGUGACGGUAGGUGCAGAAGAAGGACCGGCCAACUACGUGCCAGCCGCCGCGGUAA